UCCGUCCAGCCCACGUACAGUAGAUGUUAAUUGCUACAGCGAGCGGUGGGAGCUGCCGAGUCCAUCCACUCACCCCAAGAACAGAGCUAGCAGCGGAGGAAGCUGCCGUCGUCCAUCCACUACACCCACUUCUACGAUCCAGUCCGAGUAAGCUGCCCUCGUGGCGGCCAUGGAAUUCCUGAUGCAGCCCAUACGCAGUGCUAUAGGAGGUUAACGACAGCGAAAUCCCCCUGGAGCCACUGAGAUACCCGGUGCCAGUGCAGCUGGUGGAGUAGCGGCAAUCGAUGGUGGAAGCAGGGAGCGUGGAUGGCCAGAUCUGCGCUCAGCAGGGGAGGAUGGCGGCGGAGGGAGCGGAUCCUCCACCAGCGUCUGGACUGUCGGCUUGAACGGUGAACCCGCAGGCCCCAGGCUAGCGGAAAAAGGGUGCGAGUUGGUGCUGCUGCUCCAGGAAGAACGCGUGUCCGAACCGCACGUCGGCAUUGGAGAAAACGAUCCGGCCUUUUGCAGAUAAUCCGGGUAAUAAUGUGGUCGUUCCAGCGCUAGGAACGAGUUUUGACUCACUGGCGAAGUGUAUGAUUUCUACACUUUGUACUAGUUAACUGCCCGUGGAUUGAAAUGGGGCCAUACAUACUUUAUUUUUUUUUAUUUUUUAUUUUUGCGGGCGACAUAUUUUAGGGGUUUAACAUCAAUUGUGUCAAACAUGUACCUCAUAAUACAAUCCAAUCUUUUUUGAUAGAUAUUAUAUUUAAGGAUUGAGAAACAAUUCAUAAGGAAAUAUAAAUAUACUCUUCAGUUAUUUUCACAUUAAGAGGAUGGCCACAGCCUGGAUAGAACUAAGAGAAUUUACCUUCUAGAAAUUUUGUCAACAUAGAAAUCGAUGGAUAGGCAUAUCAAAGAAAAGUGAGCCUCUUCUCGAGAUAGAUAGAACAUAAACUAAUUUACAGUCUCAAAUCUCUUCUCCAGAUGAAGCAUCAUCGGAAUGACUUGGUCCUAGUGUAAAAAGCAUCCAAUGUGAGGCGUUGAGUUAACUAAACAAACCUACAAAGUCAAUUGCCUAUCGACCAACAAAAGGGGGAAAGGGAAGUACCAUACUUUUCAUGAAGAGGCAUACAUUGCUCAUUGUCCCUCAAACAGUUCCAUUGUGGACCAUCUAUUCCAUGUUUUUGCAUCUUUAACUUUGUUAUUAUACUCGUCCUAUAGACCAAUGCCAAGCUUUUUUAAGCAAGAUUCAACAUCAUCCUGACUCCUGUGAAGGUGCGGCUUCAGCAUCAGAGUCUUCUUGAUCAAUUCCAUCAGCAACUGAUGGUUCUAUUAUUUGUUAGACACUUCGUUUGUUUUAGCCUUUUCUACAAAGGAAUCAAACCAACUACUCCAGCUUACACCUUCAGGUUCUUCAGGAUUUUCUUGCAUAACCAUAUUUUGUUGACUUUCCUCAUCCUUUCUAACCAUGUUGACCAUUCAAGAGCCCCCAUCUUCUCCAGUUCUGGCACUGCCACUAUUUCAAACCGGCAAAGAUUUACAAAUAUAAAACCAAGUUCAAGCUGAAUUAUAGUUGUUGGUUCAGAUCAGCAUUUUGAGUACCCCGUGGAUAAAUUCAGAACAAGAAAUCAUAAUGGCUAUAAUAAGUUCAUGCAAAAAGAGGGGGGGAUAUAGGCUGGGCACAAGCUGCAGAUAUAGCAUGUACUGCGUAUUUGUAAGACUUCCCUACAUCAGAUGCUUUGAAUCUGGAGAAUUCCCCUUGGCAUUGAAAUAGUUAUUGUUUCCAUAACAUACAACCAUCAGGGUGUUCCAUAAGUAUUUUAUCCAUUUACGAAAGAGACUCUCGGAGCUAUCAUAUGACUUCGGUCGACAAAGCAGCAAUUCCAUGACAUGCUGCUUUAUGUCGCUGGGUACUAGCUACUUUGUCCUACAAUUCAGAAGCAAAAGAAAGUGAAAAGUACCUAUUAAGGCGGAAGAGGGAAAGGUGGACUAAAGUAAUACUUUAAAACAAGGUUGGAUAGUUUAAGGUUCUGUUUGACACUUAGCUGUAUGUUGUAAAAAGGAAUCAAAUAUGCAAUAUACAGUAUGCAAUAUGCAAUAUACAGUAUGCAAUAUGCAAUAUGCAUAUCGUGGUGAAAUAAAUAUUCUUAUGAAUUGGUGAAAUAAAAAUUCACAUCAUGAGGUCAUUCUCGACAUCUUAUUGAUUUCGUCUCCUCCAAAGUAUUUCAUCUUCCCAAGAGUCAUAAAGCUCAUAUUGCACAGUUGUGCUUUUGGGAGGAAUAGAUGAUGUCUCUAUGGGGAUAAAAUCUUCAGGGAGAAUUGCCAUCAUAUCUCUUUUCAACACUUUCAGCCUUUCAGGUACUUGAAAUACUUUCCUUCUAAAAUGGCAUGUUCUGCAGGAAUGCAUGGGAUGAACACAGAUGAAGACGCAAUCAGUGGUAACAACAAAAGCAGUGCUUUUUUUUAACACAAGGAAGGCGCCAGGAAGCGCCAAAUUUCGAUUCAACUCAUAGGCAAUGUACAACAUGUAUUACAUAUCCCUGUAUCUGGAAAUUGAGAAAUGAGAGCAAAACAGGGCAAGAGCCAUUGGUAUGAGCAGAAUGAGUACAAUUGAAAACAGGUUCUACUCUUGAGUUGAGUACCUUAUGAGCACAGUUGUGAGCAAUUCCAUUAGUAUUCCUAGAGAUGUGGUAAACAGUAAAAGAGAAUUGUGAAGUGUCUUGAAAGAACUCGCUAAUAGGUUGUCUGCAUCUCCAAGUAAUGAUGGGGCUGUUGAUAUCUCUGGAUGCAACCACCUUGGCCAAAGAAAGAUUGUCUGUAAGGAAAGUAAUCCGCUGAAGUUGAAGCCUACACGCAACCUUUGCAGCAAACUGAAGUGCAAGAGCUUCAGUGACGAGAGGCGAGGCAGCAGAGUCAGUAGAAGCUUGGAUCAUAAUCAUCGAAUCUGUCCAGUCGCCAUCGAAUCCCCCUGACCUGGUAUGUUCUUUUUCUUCCAAGAAGCUUCAGGAAAAAUCUUGGUACCUGCAAUUGCUAGAUCAGACUUGAGUGUACAGCCUUGCUGGACAUUUUCAUGGCAUUGAGGGAACAUGGUAGAAGACUCAUCAGGAGGAGCAGGUUGGCUUCCUGGAUUGUGUUGUUGGGUGUCCUGCAUAAUUUGAGUUGAUGCAAUGGCAAGCGCAGCCUGAUGAACCUGAUGCAGAUACGAGGUUUUCCUGCAAAACAGAGUAUCGUUUCUUGCUUUCCAUAAACGCCACAAGAAAGUAAAUAUGUUAGGGAUCGAAACUUGUGGGUGAUUCAUGUUAAUUAGAGCCAAAACAAUAUCAGCAACAGAAUUACGAGGUUGUGCAAGAAGGUCAGAUUUUAUAUACCAAGGAUGUCCAAAUUAAGCGGCUCUAGAAGAACUGCAAAGAAUCAACAAUUCAGAUGGCAGGGUUAUUUCCCCCAGCUAAAAGGAAGUAGAUUGGAUGACCGACAACCAACAGGCGGAAGACGCCAUACGAAGAUUUGAGUAAGAGGUCCAGAUUUUGCACUAUCUGUUAGAAACAGGGGCACAAAGUGGACCACCUGCCCGGAUAGAGGAGACAUGUUGAAGCAGCCGCACAAACAGCAAGAUGCAAGAAUUGCAGGGUGGAGGAGCAUAGGAGGAACAACUGCACUAGGGCUGGUGAACUGUGCAUGCAACUAGGAGGCUGAAGAGUUGUAGGCUACAGGUACUGACGAUUAAAAUCUGUGACAAGGAGAAAUUUUUGUAGACUACAUUGUGGAAUGGAGGGAGUAGUUUUCAUGCCGAUGACCUGGUAUGUGAUGUGGAUGUCUUGGAAUGAAUUGAUUUUUUUUGUUUUGCUUUGAAAUGUACGCAGUCAUUGUGAUUGCAAGCAGAUCGUGUGUUUGCCUUGUUAACAGUAACGAAAUUUUGAUGCACA